rnacentral:sRNA from 1 species
CACCGCCUGGGGAGUACGACCGCAAGGUUAAAACUCAAAUGAAUUGACGGGGACCCGCACAAGUAGUGGAGCAUGUGGUUUAAUUCGAAGAUACGCGCAGAACCUUACCAACACUUGACAUGUUCGUCGCGACUUUAAGAGAUUAAAGUUUUCGGUUCGGCCGGACGAAACACAGGUGCUGCAUGGCUGUCGUCAGCUCGUGUCGUGAGAUGUUGGGUUAAGUCCCGCAACGAGCGCAACCCUCACUUUUAGUUGCCAUCAUUUAGUUGGGCACUCUGAAAGAACUGCCAGUGAUAAGCUGGAGGAAGGUGGGGAUGACGUCAAGUCCUCAUGGCCCUUACGUGUUGGGCUACACACGUGCUACAAUGGUAUUUACAACAGGAAGCAAAACGGCAACGUUAAGCAAAUCCUAAAAAAAUACCUCAGUUCGGAUUGCACUCUGCAACUCGAGUGCAUGAAGCUGGAAUUACUAGUAAUCGUGGAUCAGCGUGCCACGGUGAAUGCGUUCCCGGGUCUUGUACACACCGCCCGUCACACCAUGGGAGUUGGUUCUACCUUAAGGCAAGGUUUAAAAUCCUUGACCACGGUAUAGUCAGCGACUGGGGUGAAGUCGUAACAAGGUAGCCGUAGGGGAACCUGCGGCUGGAUUACCUCCUUUCUAAGGAUGAAUAAAAUUAAAUUUUUAUUCUAAAUAAUAUACAUAGGUUAAUGUUGACCGUCCUCAUUUCUCUUCUUAAACAGUGUUUCUCUUGCAUGGGGGCCGGUAGCUCAGUUGGUUAGAGCACACCCUUGAUAAGGGUGGGGUCGAAAGUUCGAGUCUUUCUCGGCCCACCAAAUUCAAAGAUUAAGGGGGAUUAGCUCAGCUGGGAGAGCGCCUGAUUUGCAUUCAGGAGGUCAGCGGUUCGAUCCCGCUAUCCUCCACCAAAACACUUAGUUAUAUAAAUUGUGAAUAAAUUAAAAUUAAUAUCAAUAUCUAUAUCCGAAUAUUAGUAAUGUUAUUAACUAAUGUUCAAAUAAAAAUUUGAUUCAACACAGAAUUUUUUUCUG